GAGGGUGUAGCUCAGUAGCAGAGCACAUGCUUAGCAUGCAUGAGUUCUUGGGUUCCAUCCUCAGUACCGCCU
rnacentral:tRNA from 1 species